AGCAGCCGCGGUAAUUCCAGCUCCAAUAGCGUAUAUUAAAGUUGUUGCAGUUAAAAAGCUCGUAGUUGAAUUUCGGGGUUAGCAGGUCGGUCGUGCCAUCGGUAUGAACUGGUCUCGCUGAUCCCUCCCUCUUGACGAACUGUGAUGCCAUUAAUUUGGUGUCGCAGGGAAUCAGGACUGUUACUUUGAAAAAAUUAGAGUGUUUAAAGCAGGCUCACGCUUGAAUACAUUAGCAUGGAAUAAUGAAAUAGGACGUUUGAUCCUAUUUUGUUGGUUUCUAGGAUUGACGUAAUGAUUAAUAGGGAUAGUUGGGGGCAUUAGUAUUCAAUUGUCAGAGGUGAAAUUCUUGGAUUUAUUGAAGACUAACUACUGCGAAAGCAUUUGCCAAGGAUGUUUUCAUUAAUCAAGAACGAAAGUUAGGGGAUCGAAGACGAUCAGAUACCGUCGUAGUCUUAACCAUAAACUAUGCCGACUAGGGAUCGGAUGAUGUUAAUUUUUUU
rnacentral:misc_RNA from 1 species